rnacentral:antisense_RNA from 1 species
CUUCACCGACCCCAACCACAGCGGCUCGUCCCGGUCCUGACCGUACGUCGCCAACAGCGCCUGCGCCUC